GACGAACCGUGCGAACGUUAUUCGGAAUCACUGGGCUUAAAGCGCGUGUAGGCGGGACGGCACGUCGGUCGCUGAAAUCCCCCGGCUUAACCGGGAACGUGGCGUCGAUACGACCGCCCUGGAGGGGCGUAGGGGAGCCCUGGAACUUCCGGUGGAGCGGUGAAAUGCGUUGAGAUCGGAAGGAACGCCCGUGGCGAAAGCGAGGUCCUGGACGCCUACUGACGCUGAGACGCGAAAGCCAGGGGAGCGGAACGGG
rnacentral:rRNA from 1 species